GCGGCGUGCCUAAUACAUGCAAGUAGAACGCUGAAGAGAGGAGCUUGCUCUUCUUGGAUGAGUUGCGAACGGGUGAGUAACGCGUAGGUAACCUGCCUUGUAGCGGGGGAUAACUAUUGGAAACGAUAGCUAAUACCGCAUAACAAUGGAUGACACAUGUCAUUUAUUUGAAAGGGGCAAUUGCUCCACUACAAGAUGGACCUGCGUUGUAUUAGCUAGUAGGUGAGGUAACGGCUCACCUAGGCGACGAUACAUAGCCGACCUGAGAGGGUGAUCGGCCACACUGGGACUGAGACACGGCCCAGACUCCUACGGGAGGCAGCAGUAGGGAAUCUUCGGCAAUGGGGGCAACCCUGACCGAGCAACGCCGCGUGAGUGAAGAAGGUUUUCGGAUCGUAAAGCUCUGUUGUAAGUCAAGAACGAGUGUGAGAGUGGGAAGUUCACACUGUGACGGUAGCUUACCAGAAAGGGACGGCUAACUACGUGCCAGCAGCCGCGGUAAUACGUAGGUCCCGAGCGUUGUCCGGAUUUAUUGGGCGUAAAGCGAGCGCAGGCGGUUUGAUAAGUCUGAAGUUAAAGGCUGUGGCUCAACCAUAGUUCGCUUUGGAAACUGUCAAACUUGAGUGCAGAAGGGGAGAGUGGAACUCCAUGUGUAGCGGUGAAAUGCGUAGAUAUAUGGAGGAACACCGGUGGCGAAAGCGGCUCUCUGGUCUGUAACUGACGCUGAGGCUCGAAAGCGUGGGGAGCGAACAGGAUUAGAUACCCUGGUAGUCCACGCCGUAAACGAUGAGUGCUAGGUGUUGGAUCCUUUCCGGGAUUCAGUGCCGCAGCUAACGCAUUAAGCACUCCGCCUGGGGAGUACGACCGCAAGGUUGAAACUCAAAGGAAUUGACGGGGGCCCGCACAAGCGGUGGAGCAUGUGGUUUAAUUCGAAGCAACGCGAAGAACCUUACCAGGUCUUGACAUCCCGAUGCUAUUUCUAGAGAUAGAAAGUUACUUCGGUACAUCGGUGACAGGUGGUGCAUGGUUGUCGUCAGCUCGUGUCGUGAGAUGUUGGGUUAAGUCCCGCAACGAGCGCAACCCCUAUUGUUAGUUGCCAUCAUUCAGUUGGGCACUCUAGCGAGACUGCCGGUAAUAAACCGGAGGAAGGUGGGGAUGACGUCAAAUCAUCAUGCCCCUUAUGACCUGGGCUACACACGUGCUACAAUGGUUGGUACAACGAGUUGCGAGUCGGUGACGGCAAGCUAAUCUCUUAAAGCCAAUCUCAGUUCGGAUUGUAGGCUGCAACUCGCCUACAUGAAGUCGGAAUCGCUAGUAAUCGCGGAUCAGCACGCCGCGGUGAAUACGUUCCCGGGCCUUGUACACACCGCCCGUCACACCACGAGAGUUUGUAACACCCGAAGUCGGUGAGGUAACCUUUUGGAGCCAGCCGCCUAAGGUGGGAUAGAUGAUUGGGGUGAAGUG
rnacentral:rRNA from 1 species